rnacentral:lncRNA from 1 species
GGAAGAAGAGUGGGAGAUGGUGGAGGAGGGCUUUUAUAGUAAUAAGGAGGUGGUGGUGAUGGGGAAGGUGGGGGAGGGGAUUUGUAAUAGUAAGGAGGUGGCGGUGAUGGGGAUGGUGGGGGAGGGGAUUUGUAAUAGUAAGGAGGUGGGGGUGAUGGAGAUGGUGGUGGAGGUGAUUUAUAGUAAUAGGGAGGUGGUGGAGAUGGAGAGGGAGGUGGAGGAGAUUUAUAAUAGUAUGGAGGAGGAGGGGAUGGUGAAGGUGGGGGUGGUGAUUUAUAAUAGUAUGGUGGGGGAGGAGAGGGGGAUGGUGGAGGUGGAGAGUUGUAUUUGUAAACGGGAGUUGGAGGAGGAGGUGACUUAUAGUAGUAAGGAGUUGGAGAAGGUUUUUCACAUUCUUUAAAAUGCUUCUUUGAAGCAUAAGCAAAUGGCUUAGCCUUAAGCACAACUUCGUACUUGUCCUUAGAUUUCACCUUCAAGUUGGUUCCUUCAUUCAAUUUAGUAGGUAUGCUGAAGGGUGAGUCUUUAGGUGGAGCAAAAAGCUUGGCCUUGCACACUGUGGCUCCAUACUUGACGUAAUCGAAAUCCUUAACUGUGAUACUAUACUUUCCAUUGCUCUUAGUUUCACCAUAGGCCUUGAUCACUUUCCACCCUGCUUUGCAUUUCACCUCCACAACAGCACCUACAUGCCCCCCAAAAACGAUUCAUUACGAUACAUAAGUUAAAUUAUUCUUGUAAGCAAACGCACUAUAUAUUGGAUAAGAUACUAUGUUAAUUAUCUUUCUCUCAAUUCUUUUCUUUAUCAUAUUGUUGUUUAUUUAUUUCUGUUUAUGUAUAAUUUGUAAGAUAUUAAAGAUGUAAUAAUCAAUAUUCUCAUUUAACUUUAAAAUAACCAAAAAAAAGUGCUCGUAAGAUGUUGGAAAUAUAAAAGUUUUCUUAAUUAGUCUUAACUUUUAGCCAAUAAUAAAAUGAUAUAUCUAAACAAAAAGAUAAUGAAAUGAAUAUGAUGUACCUUUGAGGUGUUUCUUGUUAUGAGACUUCUCGAUGUGGUUCCAGUCAUAGCACUUGUAGCUGUAAACUUUACCUACUACCUUCACAGUCAAUGCGUGGUCGUAAUGAUGUGGGUAGGGGUGUGUGGGAUAUGCAGCUGGUGGAGGAGGAGAGUUAUAAUAGUAUGGAGGUGGUGGAGAGUUGUAGUAGUAAGGAGUGGGUGAAGGGGGAGGAGGAGACUUGUAGUAGUAAGGUGGAUGGGGUAAUGGAGAUGGAGGAGGAGGAGAUUUGUAGUAGUAGGGUGGUGGAGAAGGUGUUGGGGAUGGUGGUGGAGGGGAUUUGUAGUAGUAUGGGGUUGGAGAUGGAGAUUUUUCAGGUGGAGGUGGAGACUUGUAAUAGUAGGGUGGUGGAGGAGAUGGUGAAGGUGGUGGUGGGGAGUUGUAAUAGUAAGGGGGUGGAGGUGAGGGAGAGGGCGGUGGAGGAGACUUGUAAUAGUAGGGAGGUGGGGGUGACGAGGAAGGAGGAGGUGGUGACUUGUAAUAGUAGGGUGGAUCCUUGUGCUCAUAUGGUGGCGGAGGAGAUUUGUAAUAGUAUGGGGGAGGUGGUGAGGGGGAGGGUGGCGGAGGAGAUUUGUAAUAGUAUGGAGGAGGUGGUGAGGGGGAAGGUGGUGGAGGAGAUUUGUAGUAGUAUGGAGGAGGAGGUGAGGGGGAUGGUGGCGGAGGAUGUUUGUAAUAGUAUGGAGGAGGUGGUGAGGGAGAAGGUGGAGGAGGAGAUUUGUAAUAGUAUGGAGGAGGUGGUGAGGGGGAGGGUGGUGGAGGAGACUUGUAAUAGUAUGGAGGAGGAGGUGAGGGGGAGGGUGGUGGAGGAGACUUAUACUGAUAAGGAGGUGGUGGUGAAGGUGAUGGAGGAGGAGGUGAGUUGUACUGAUAAGGAGGUGGAGGUGAUGGUGAAGGUGGAGGUGGUGAGUUGUAUUCAUAAGGAGGAGGUGGUGAUGGAGAAGGGGAUGGUGGUGGUGGUGGAGAAAAGUAAGGGUAAGCAUCAGCAUUAACAGAAACCAGAGUAGUAGAAAUGAAAGCAAUGGCCAAUGCCAUG